UCAAUCACUUGGUAAUUGCUGU
rnacentral:miRNA from 1 species